CUUACCAUGCAAGUCGAACGAUGAAGCCCAGCUUGCUGGGUGGAUUAGUGGCGAACGGGUGAGUAACACGUGAGCAACCUGCCCCGGACUCUGGGAUAAGCGCUGGAAACGGUGUCUAAUACCGGAUAUGAGCUCCUGCCGCAUGGUGGGGGUUGGAAAGAUUUUUCGGUUCGGGAUGGGCUCGCGGCCUAUCAGCUUGUUGGUGAGGUAAUGGCUCACCAAGGCGUCGACGGGUAGCCGGCCUGAGAGGGUGACCGGCCACACUGGGACUGAGACACGGCCCAGACUCCUACGGGAGGCAGCAGUGGGGAAUAUUGCACAAUGGGCGGAAGCCUGAUGCAGCAACGCCGCGUGAGGGAUGACGGCCUUCGGGUUGUAAACCUCUUUUAGCAGGGAAGAAGCGAAAGUGACGGUACCUGCAGAAAAAGCGCCGGCUAACUACGUGCCAGCAGCCGCGGUAAUACGUAGGGCGCAAGCGUUAUCCGGAAUUAUUGGGCGUAAAGAGCUCGUAGGCGGUUUGUCGCGUCUGCUGUGAAAUCCCGAGGCUCAACCUCGGGUCUGCAGUGGGUACGGGCAGACUAGAGUGCGGUAGGGGAGAUUGGAAUUCCUGGUGUAGCGGUGGAAUGCGCAGAUAUCACGAGGAACACCGAUGGCGAAGGCAGAUCUCUGGGCCGUAACUGACGCUGAGGAGCGAAAGGGUGGGGAGCAAACAGCUUAGAUACCCUGGUAGUCCACCCCGUAACGUUGGGAACUAGUUGUGGGGUCCUUUCCACGGAUUCCGUGACGCAGCUAACGCA
rnacentral:rRNA from 1 species